rnacentral:lncRNA from 1 species
UUCACCUGGAACCCUGACAAGAAUUAAAACACAUCAUGAAGAGCAUGGCAGUAUUUGCCCUUCUAGCCUUCCUGUCAGUGGAUGCGGCACCCACAAAAGGCACCAUGAGACUUUUCCUCAGGCAAAUUAUCGAUGAAGCACGAAAUCUAAAAAAACCUGAGAUGAUGAAGUAUGUUGACAGUGGGUUUGAUCAUGUGAACUGUGAGUGUAAAGUCUUCGGCAUCGCUGCGAAGAUCCUCCGUCCCAUACUACCUGAACACCACAAACUACCAAGGGCACUAGAUGUUUAUACUCAGGGGAACCAAGACUAUCCCUACACCUCAGGACACCAGUAUCAUCUGAAGACGCUUGCGGAGUUUAUCAUUAGAUGUGCCCAGGUCCAUAUGUCUCAUGUCCACAAACAGUGUGGUCAUCACACCAC